rnacentral:rRNA from 1 species
AGAACGAACGCUGGCGGCAUGCCUAACACAUGCAAGUCGAACGAGACCUUCGGGUCUAGUGGCGCACGGGUGCGUAACGCGUGGGAAUCUGCCCUUGGGUUCGGGAUAACAGUUGGAAACGACUGCUAAUACCGGAUGAUGACUUCGGUCCAAAGAUUUAUCGCCCAGGGAUGAGCCCGCGUAGGAUUAGCUAGUUGGUGAGGUAAAGGCUCACCAAGGCGACGAUCCUUAGCUGGUCUGAGAGGAUGAUCAGCCACACUGGGACUGAGACACGGCCCAGACUCCUACGGGAGGCAGCAGUGGGGAAUAUUGGACAAUGGGACGAAAGCCUGAUCCAGCAAUGCCGCGUGAGUGAUGAAGGCCUUAGGUGUAAAGCUCUUUACCGGGAUGAUAAUGACAGUACCGGAGAAUAACGCCCGACUAACUCCGUGCCAGCCAGCCGAC